rnacentral:tRNA from 1 species
GGGCCCUUAGUUCAUUUGGCUAGAACGCUUCUAUGGCAUAGAAGAGGUGAGCGGUUCGAAUCCGCUAGGGUCCACCA